rnacentral:rRNA from 1 species
UACGGAGGAGGCAAGCGUUAUCCGGAAUUAUUGGGCGUAAAGCGUCCGCAGGUGGCUAUUCAAGUCUGCGGUCAAAGACUGGGGCUUAACCCUGGAAAGGCCGUGGAAACUGAAGAGCUAGAGUGCAGUAGGGGUAGAGGGAAUUCCCGGUGUAGCGGUGAAAUGCGUAGAGCUCGGGAAGAACAUCGGUGGCGAAAGCGCUCUGCUGGACUGCAACUGACACUCAGGGACGAAAGCUAGGGGAGCAAAUGGG